AGGACGAACGCUGGCGGCGUGCUUAACACAUGCAAGUCGAGCGGUAAGGCUCCUUCGGGAGUACACGAGCGGCGAACGGGUGAGUAACACGUGAGCAAUCUGCCCUUCACUUCGGGAUAACUCCGGGAAACCGGUGCUAAUACCGAAUACGACCACUUCAGGCAUCUGAUGGUGGUGGAAAGUUCCGGCGGUGAAGGAUGAGCUCGCGGCCUAUCAGCUUGUUGGUGAGGUAAUGGCUCACCAAGGCAACGACGGGUAGCCGGCCUGAGAGGGUGACCGGCCACACUGGGACUGAGACACGGCCCAGACUCCUACGGGAGGCAGCAGUGGGGAAUAUUGGACAAUGGGCGAAAGCCUGAUCCAGCAACGCCGCGUGAGGGAUGACGGCCUUCGGGUUGUAAACCUCUUUCAUCCAUGACGAAGCGCAAGUGACGGUAGUGGAAGAAGAAGCACCGGCCAACUACGUGCCAGCAGCCGCGGU
rnacentral:rRNA from 1 species